UACGGAGGAUCCAAGCGUUAUCCGGAUUUAUUGGGUUAAAGGGUGCGUAGGCGGGGAAUUAAGUCAGUGGUGAAAGUUUGCAGCUCAACUGUAAAAUUGCCAUUGAAACUGAUUUUCUUGAGUGUAAAUGAGGUAGGCGGAAUGUGUUGUGUAGCGGUGAAAUGCUUAGAUAUGACACAGAACACCGAUAGCGAAGGCAGCUCACAAAGUUACAACUGACGCUGAUGCACGAAAGCGUGGGGAUCAAA
rnacentral:rRNA from 1 species